rnacentral:pre_miRNA from 1 species
GUAAUACUCCCUCCGUCCCAAAAUUCUUGUCUUAUAUUUGUCUAAAUACGGAUGUAUCAAGUCACGUUUUAGUAUUAGAUACAUCCGUAUCUAGACAAAUCUAAGACAAGAAUUUUGGGACGGAGGGAGUAGUAU